rnacentral:rRNA from 1 species
AACGAACGCUGGCGGCAGGCUUAACACAUGCAAGUCGAGCGCCCCUUUCGGGGGGAGCGGCAGACGGGUGAGUAACGCGUGGGAACCUACCCUUUCCUGCGGAACAACUCCGGGAAACUGGAGCUAAUACCGCAUACGCCCUACGGGGGAAAGAUUUAUCGGGGAAGGAUGGGCCCGCGUCGGAUUAGCUAGUUGGUGAGGUAACGGCUCACCAAGGCGACGAUCCGUAGCUGGUCUGAGAGGAUGACCAGCCACACUGGGACUGAGACACGGCCCAGACUCCUACGGGAGGCAGCAGUGGGGAAUAUUGGCCAAUGGGCGCAAGCCUGAUCCAGCCAUGCCGCGUGAGUGAUGAAGGCCUUAGGGUUGUAAAGCUCUUUCGCCGGUGAAGAUAAUGACGGUAACCGGAGAAGAAGCCCCGGCUAACUUCGUGCCAGCAGCCGCCGUAAGAC